rnacentral:rRNA from 1 species
AACGUUACCAAACUGUUGCCUCGGCGGGAACUCAUGCCCCGGGUGCGUCGCAGCCCCGGACCAAGGCGCCCGCCGGAGGACCAACCAAAACUCUUUUUGUAUACCCCCUCGCGGGUUUUUUAUAAUCUGAGCCUUCUCGGCGCCUCUCGUAGGCGUUUCGAAAAUGAAUCAAAACUUUCAACAACGGAUCUCUUGGUUCUGGCAUCGAUGAAGAACGCAGCGAAAUGCGAUAAGUAAUGUGAAUUGCAGAAUUCAGUGAAUCAUCGAAUCUUUGAACGCACAUUGCGCCCGCCAGUAUUCUGGCGGGCAUGCCUGUCCGAGCGUCAUUUCAACCCUCGAACCCCUCCGGGGGGUCGGCGUUGGGGAUCGGCCUUCCUUCACGGGGGCCGUCUCCGAAAUACAGUGGCGGUCUCGCCGCAGCCUCUCCUGCGCAGUAGUUUGCACACUCGCAUCGGGAGCGCGGCGCGUCCACAGCCGUUAAACACCCAACUUUCUGAAAUGUUGACCUCGGAUCAGGUAGGAAUACCCGCUGAACUUA